rfam:Bradyrhizobium yuanmingense strain BR3267 contig1028, whole genome shotgun sequence.
CAAGUCCCAUCCGGCCAAAGCCGAAGCGGGCAAGCCGGGACCGAGUCUUGCGGGCGUCCGGCAACGCGGGGUCUGAAGUGUAGACAGGAGCCAUGCGGGGUGCGGGAAUGAGCCUCGAAAGGUGGAUGUUCGCGGAGGCCGAGUGUGUUCCCAUGAGCAUCGUCGUUAUGCGAGACGAUGCCGCUCCGUCGGGGUCGAUGGCCG